UAAUAAACAGGGGCGGACUCUGUGUCAAAACGACCAGAGUAUUGAGGACAAUCAGGCACAUAAUUACAUAUCAUAUGAUAAUAUGUAAUUUUUUACACGACGCACAGAUGACCCAUUUAUAAGAGAAUAUUAUAAAACCUUUAACAAUUUAAUACAUAAUGGCAUCUAUGUGGCCGUUUCAGUGACCCAUACAGACAAGUUCACGUAGAGGCCCACAGGGCAUUUGCCUUAAUGCCCCAUAUAGCCAGUCCCCCUCUGUCAAAAAAGUACAAAAUUAAAAAAAUUAGCAAGGUAAGCUAGAUGAUCUACGUAAAAAAAAUUGACAUGUCUU